rnacentral:lncRNA from 10 species
UUUUGGGCCACACAAUGGCUUUCCGGGAGGAGAGUGCUUGGAAUGAUGGGACAUCAGGACACCCGUCACAGAAACACAUGACACAGCAGAGUGAAUAAAAGGACUUCUGUGUGGGAGCAGUACCGUCCAUGAUCAUGAAUCAUGAAUCACCACCUGAUCAUGAAUCUCCAGGGCUUUGUCCACAGAAGUCGGAAUGGUGCUUCCGACUGCUCUAAGGCAGAGUGGGAAGACCACGUCUCAGCGCCCUCCAAGGCCGGUGUGUGCUACUACCGCGCGUGGGACUCUUGACAUCUAAGUAUACUCAGCCCUCACUGCAGCACCGCAUCCCACCAGCAGGAAGCGCUCCUCCUUCUCCAAAGAAUGAAUCUCCUUUCCUCUUCAGGGCCUUCCUCAUGAGGUUCCCAGGCCUUGAAAGCUCUUGCCCAUGGUGGCUUAUCUACGAUCCCCUCUCUAUGGGCUGAAAGCUCUAUGCAUGCUUUUUGUGCACAUCUGUUGGGUUUACUACCCUCUGUUUAGCACUUACGUGCUAAAGAUUUAGUACCUGGUACAUAAUCACCUGUUGAGUGACUCAGCUUUUAGGUGUUCUUUUCUGGCAGCCAAAUAGAGACUUCCUGCAGCAGCUCCUGAAGUGGGAAAGCUUUCAACACCACCAUGCAAUUUGGAAUUUCUCCAAAAUUCUGUUACCUUUGUACCACCAUGAAAUGAAAAGCCAACAGGACACAUUACAAAGCAACUAUGAUCAUUUUUAACCACUAUUAUUAUUAUUUUGAGACAAGGUUUUGCUCUGUUGCUCAGGCUGGAGCACAGUGG